CUGGUGCUGAGGCUGACGCCCGGGAUGGGGCGUGGCCUGCGCCUGGAUAAGCUGGCCCUGACAGGGCGCUGCCUCAAGAGCCAGCCCUUUCCUCCAGCUUGGAGCGUAGGCAUGCACCCCUGUGCCACAGUUUGUUCUGUUAUUGUAAAGGAAAAUACAAAUGAAUACCCUACCUUGAAAACUGGAAUUGUGUUUUUCCAACCAAAGAUGCUAUCAAGAGAGGAGUCUUAGUGGGGCAAAGAACUCCUCUCCAAGCUAGGACUGGUUCUCGGCAUGCUGGGAGUGACUAGACACACCAGACUCAAUGGACUGAGCAGGACACAGUUGAAGACA
ensembl:lncRNA